rnacentral:misc_RNA from 1 species
AAGAGUUUGACCUCAAAUUAUUGCAUCACAUCUUCAGAAGGGUAUAGAUGAACUCCCCAAGACUAAUGUACAGCUAUUAUGGAAAUUGUCUUUAAGUUGAUUUUUAAAGGCUAAAAAAGUAGAAUACCUGGACUAGUGAUUUGUAAGAGGUUAAUUUUGAAGUAAUUGCUGGAGAGAUGGUUAGUUGCAGUACUGAUAAAAUGAAUAAUAUAUUAGAAUCGGAAUUUUGGGGCUGGG